UGAAGAUGUAGCAGUAUGAAUGUAAACCCCUGUGAUCAGGACAGGUAUCUGAAGAUGUAGCAGUAUGAAUGUAAACCCCUGUGAUCAGGACAGGUAUCUGAAGAUAUCUGCAGCAAAUUGCUUUUCUUCAAACUGUGCAUGAUCGUCGACCCAUGCAGAUUCUCAAAAUAGGCCACGCCUACCAGAUGAUGUAAUACCGCUUACGCUGUCCUGAAAUCCCUGGGAAAAGUGACAGCUGAUUGUAACUCCAGUUGAAGUGAAAAUAUCCUGCACAUCUUCUUCAAUCAUAAGCCCCGCCCCCUCACUGUGCUCCUCCUGGCUUCACUUUUCCCCAUGGAAACCUCAACUUGCAUUCAGACAAUAAUUCAUAAUCCGACAUUGUAGCUGAGGAGAGGUAACUUCCAGGUAACGCUUAUCGCUGUGUUAAUG
ensembl:lncRNA